rnacentral:rRNA from 1 species
UACGGAGGGGGGCUAGCGUUGUUCGGAAUUACUGGGCGUAAAGCGUACGUAGGCGGCUUUGUAAGUUAGAGGUGAAAGCCCGGGGCUCAACUCCGGAAUUGCCUUUAAGACUGCAUCGCUUGAAUCAUGGAGAGGUGAGUGGAAUUCCGAGUGUAGAGGUGAAAUUCGUAGAUAUUCGGAAGAACACCAGUGGCGAAGGCGACUCACUGGACAUGUAUUGACGCUGAGGUACGAAAAGCGUGGGGGAGCAAACAGG